AGCUCUGCUUUCAUUAAAAGAAGAAAAACAAAUGCCCAGUGUUGGAGGUUUGAACGUAACGUGUUGCCAGCAGUGGGCUGAGCAGUGAUUGAUGGCAGCAGGGCAGUCCUUGAUGGAUAUUAUCUGCCAGCAUUGCAGAAGAACUUCCUGCAGUCUGGACUUCUGUUUCAGGGAGGUCCAGGAUUUGGAAGCUCUCCAGCAGCAAUAGCCAGGGACGAGAGAACCAAGUGUUACCGACAGCGUUGCAUGCACAGUGCACACGGAAACGUUGUGCUUGGAAAUCCAGGCCUCCGAGAGCCCCGACCCGUUCCCGGGGCUGGAGGGCUCCUGGCAGCCCGUAGCCUGCAGAGGGCAGCCGCGUCCUUGGCAAAACGGGAGCGUUUUGCUCGAGCAGGGCAAAGAGAAGGGCAAGGACUGCAGGGGUUGGUAUCAGCAGACCACUGGAAAGCCAAAGCACAAAACUUCAUGCAUUGCACCAAAAGAUGCAGGUCCCAUUCUUUGUUCUGAAAUAAAUUUUCCCUGUGACCUUGGGCAACAUACUUGGCACUCUAAGAGUAUUUAGGCAUCUGAAAAGAGCAACAGGGGAUUUGAAAAUACCUGUUUGUUGGUAAAAUACUUUAAUCUGUUUAGG